GCCAGACUCCUACGGGAGGCAGCAGUGGGGAAUAUUGCACAAUGGGGGAAACCCUGAUGCAGCGACGCCGCGUGAGCGAUGAAGUAUUUCGGUAUGUAAAGCUCUAUCAGCAGGAAAGAAAAUGACGGUACCUGACUAAGAAGCCCCGGCUAACUACGUGCCAGCAGCCGCGGUAAUACGUAGGGGGCAAGCGUUAUCCGGAUUUACUGGGUGUAAAGGGAGUGUAGGCGGUUUAGUAAGAUAGUGGUGAAAUCCCAGAGCUUAACUUUGGAAUUGCCAUUAUAACUAUUAGACUAGAAUUACAGAGAGGAUAGUGGAAUACCCAGUGUAGAGGUGAAAUUCGUAGAUAUUGGGUAGAACACCAGUGGCGAAGGCGACUAUCUGGCUGUACAUUGACGCUGAGGCUCGAAAGCAUGGGGAUCAAACAGGAUUAGAUACCCGGGUACG
rnacentral:rRNA from 1 species